rnacentral:rRNA from 1 species
UACGAGGGGGGCAAGCGUUGUUCGGAUUUAUUGGGCGUAAAGGGUGCGUAGGCGGUUUGGCAAGUCUGAUGUGAAAUCUAUGGGCUCAACCCAUAGUCUGCAUCAGAAACUGCCGGGCUUGAGUAUGGGAGAGGUGAGUGGAACUGCGAGUGUAGAGGUGAAAUUCGUAGAUAUUCGCAAGAACACCAGUGGCGAAGGCGGCUCACUGGCCCGAUACUGACGCUGAGGUGCGAAAGCGUGGGGAGCAAACAGG